GACGAACGCUGGCGGCGUGCUUAACACAUGCAAGUCGAACGGAAAGGCCCUGCUUUUGUGGGGUGCUCGAGUGGCGAACGGGUGAGUAACACGUGAGUAACCUGCCCUUGACUUUGGGAUAACUUCAGGAAACUGGGGCUAAUACCGGAUAGGAGCUCCUGCUGCAUGGUGGGGGUUGGAAAGUUUCGGCGGUUGGGGAUGGACUCGCGGCUUAUCAGCUUGUUGGUGUGGUAGUGGCUUACCAAGGCUUUGACGGGUAGCCGGCCUGAGAGGGUGACCGGGCACAUUGGGACUGAGAUACGGCCCAGACUCCUACGGGAGGCAGCAGUGGGGAAUAUUGCACAAUGGGCGGAAGCCUGAUGCAGCAACGCCGCGUGCGGGAUGACGGCCUUCGGGUUGUAAACCGCUUUCGCAUGUGACGAAGCGGGAGUGACGGUAAUGGGUAAAGAAGCACCGGCUAACUACGUG
rnacentral:rRNA from 1 species